CAAGACCUCCACAUUGAGCAUACUUAAUGAGUUAAUAUCACAGGCACCAGUCAACUCAUGCAGCGAAAUACCAUCCGUUAUAUUAAAUCAAUUGUUCAGUAUUUUUUUAGCUGCAUUCAUUCAUCGGAUUAGUUGGCUCCGUUUAACCAGUUGACCAGUAUAUUUGAGCAUAAAUUAAUUUGUGUGUGUGUGCGUGGGUGUGUGCGUGCGUGCGUGUCCGUGCUUAGUAAAUGGAGCAAACAGGGAUUGAAAGAAUAAUCGGCAUGAAUACAGGACAUGAAUUUGCUUAUAGGUAAAGAGGCAACACAUAAUUCAUAAUCUUCAUUCACACAUGGAUUUGUGUGUGAGCGUGUGCAUGUGUGUGAGCGUGAGAGUGCGUGAGCAUAAGUGUGUGUUGGAUGUCAGUUCCAGCGGAGUGUCUCGAGCCACGGUACUCCACAUCCAAGCACACAUGAGCCAGUGGAUAUCACAGCCUAAAACUACAGGAAUGUAAGUGCAUAAAAGUAAGUGACUCCGUCUCCGAAUCUUCGCUUGCUUUGAUCCUUGGAGACUUCAAUGAUUUGUUCUUGUAUUCAAAUUUCAAAUAGGUCCGUUCACCAGGACCAGCAAUCGUUGCUUUAACAUGGAAAACAGAUGAAAAGACCAAGAAUGACCUCCAGAUGGAAAAGCAGCCACACGUGUGGAAACUGUGUACGUGUGCAUCGGCGUUCGGGUCUGCCGUGAGGUAAAGCACUCCUGGCCGUCACACAGUUUUGCACUUAGAUGGAUGACGUACAUGCGCGAAUGCAUAUGUGGUCUUACAGAAGCGUGUGACUGACAGAAUGAGGUCACCUCUGAUGGGGGGACCUGAGUGCGAGGAUGCCGACCUCCACAUACCACUUUUGCUCGUUACCCAAUGUUUCCCCUGCAUACAUCCAGCAGUACUGCAGUAACGCCGCUGGAAAGAUAGUGCCACUGCAAUCAGCCAUGUGAAAAAUAAAC
ensembl:lncRNA